UACGUAGGGUGCAAGCGUUGUCCGGAAUUAUUGGGCGUAAAGAGCUCGUAGGCGGUCUGUCGCGUCGGCUGUGAAAACUCGGGGCUCAACUCCGAGCUUGCAGUCGAUACGGGCAGGCUAGAGUUCGGCAGGGGAGACUGGAAUUCCUGGUGUAGCGGUGAAAUGCGUAGAUAUCGGGAGGAACACCUGUGGCGAAAGCGGCUCACUGGACCUAACUGACGCUGAUGCACGAAAGCUGGGGGAGCAAACAGG
rnacentral:rRNA from 1 species